rnacentral:lncRNA from 1 species
AAAGAAAUAAGCGCUGGAUGACAUGUGGCAGAUUUUCCAACUCUCCAGGAAAAACUUCAGAUCAACUUGUUUCUCUGGAAACUACUCACAUCCGGGGGCUGUCCCUGUCCCCUGGGACUCAUAAACGUUCCUAUCUUCAAGGCACAGUUACCUGAGCAAGUGAUCCUGAUAUGUAGGUGCUGUUGGCCUCCAGUCUCACACAUCAACUCACCAAUCAUGGAGAAGAAGUUAGAUGACUUCC